CUUGCUAAGGCGUUUGGUGAACUGCUGAAGGAUUUAUGGUCGCCAGGAAGAAAAAAAGUUGAACCACGUUUUUUCAAGACAAAACUAGAAACAUAUGCUCCACAAUUUAGUGGUAACAUGGAACAGGAUUCUCAUGAACUGCUUGUUUGCUUAUUAGAAGCGCUGCACACUGAACUUAAAGACUCUGACAAUGAUUCUGUAAUAGCUAAUGCCUGCCAAGGUCAUUGCAAGUCAACUCUGGUUUGUCCAGUUUGUGGAGGAAAGUUGAUCAGUUUUGACCCUUUCAAGUGCAUGUGUUUACCUUUGCUCAC